GUUCAAGAAAGCUGUGGAA
rnacentral:snRNA from 1 species